UGCGUAGGCGGGCUAAUAUGUCAGUGGUGAAAUCUUCCGGCUCAACCGGGAACCUGCCAUUGAUACUGUUAGUCUUGAGUUCGGUUGAGGUAGGCGGAAUGUGUAAUGUAGCGGUGAAAUGCUUAGAUAUUACACAGAACACCAAUUGCGUAGGCAGCUUACUAGACCGACACUGACGCUGAGGCACGAAAGCGUGGGGAGCGAACAGGAUUAGAUACCCUGGUAGUCC
rnacentral:rRNA from 1 species